CCUACGGGAGGCAGCAGUAGGGAAUCUUCCACAAUGGGCGCAAGCCUGAUGGAGCAACACCGCGUGAGUGAAGAAGGGUUUCGGCUCGUAAAGCUCUGUUGUUGGAGAAGAAAGUGCGUGUGAGUAACUGUUCACGCAGUGAUGGUAUCCAACCAGCACGUCACGGCUAACUACGUGCGAGCAGCCGCGGUAAUACGUAGGUGGCAAGCGUUAUCCGGAUUUAUUGGGCGUAAAGCGAGCGCAGGCGGUUGAUUAGGUCUGAUGUGAAAGACUUCGGCUUAACCGAAGAAGUGCAUCGGAAACCGGGCGACUUGAGUGCAGAAGAGGACAGCGGAACUCGAGGUGUAGCGGUGAAAUGCGUAGAUAUAUGGAAGAACACCAGUGGCGAAGGCGGCUGUCUGGUCUGCAACUGACGCUGAGGCUCGAAAGCAUGGGUAGCGAACAGGAUUAGAUACCCUAGUAGUC
rnacentral:rRNA from 1 species